rnacentral:rRNA from 1 species
CGUUCCCGGGCCUUGUACACACCGCCCGACACACCACGAGAGUUUCGUAACACCCGAAGUCGGUGGGUAACCUUUGGAGCCAGCCGCCUAAGGUGGGACGAGAUGAUUGGGGUG